UGUAACCUUAAGAACCAAUGUAAAAUGAACACAAUAAUGAAAGUCUUUUACUUUUCGUGAUGCUUCCUCCCUAUCUUACUUUAGAGCUGUGAAAUACUUUUCUUUUUUGGAAAUAUAAGAGCUCUGUAAAGAGGCCUUUAGCCCAAGUUUUUAAUGUGACAAUUACAAAUACAAACUCGUGGUUACUUUAUUUUUAGAUUACAGUAACUCAAGUACAGAAGCCUCUUUCUGUAGUUCCUGUUCUCUUUUACAAAUCCAGGGCUGCUUUUUAAAACCAGUGACUCACCUUAUUCCUUUAUAUCUAAAACUUUUGAUGCAUUUUAGUCUUUGCAUUAUAUAUAAUCAUCAAUAUAAAUUAAGAAUAUGAAUUCCAGUACCCACUUUUAUAACAAAGUAUAGGAAAAGUAAAUUUGACAUUUUAUUACCUAUCCAAUAAAAAAAACUCAGAGGAAUAUGAUACAUUUUUAAAAUAUUUUAAAAUCAGUGAUGUCCUAAGUGAUUUCUUUGUAUAUGAAUGCUUUAUAAUAAAUUUACACUUGUUGACCUAUCUGUUUAGAAACUUAUGGAAACUAGUAUGCUCUUUAGAACUUUUUUGGUUUUUCACUGAAAUCCUUUGGGGCAACUAGAGAAUUGAAGUCCUCAACUGAAGUAGAAAUAGAAGACUGACAGAAAAGGCGUAAUAGAAGGGAGGAACUCAGAAGCUCGGGUAGCAGUUUAAGAGAUGGUGACUCCAAAAGGACAGAGUUGGAGGUACAUUUUAUCUACAGCUGGGGGAAUAAUCAAGCUAUAGGUAUGAAAGAAUUUUCAGGGCAAGAUCUGGAGGAGCUAGGAAAAGCAAUUAUGUUAAAGAUAAUCCUCCCAGGAAAAUCCCUAACAGAAUAUAGGAGGAAGGGGGUAAUUAUGGAAUUUCUGGUGAGGGAAGAGGAAAACUCUGAUUCAUUCUCAUUGAGAAAAGAGGUGUUAUGUAAGAGGACCUUCCAGACCCGAAGUGGGGAAAUAACUGAAAAUGGAUGAAUACGUGGAAUUAUCCUGGAAAGUAAAUUAUGAUAGAGAUGAAAGAUUCUCUCUGGCUGAAGUACUGCAUGUGUCCUUCACCCACUCUUAUUCCCUCUCCCUCUACAGCUUCUUCAGUCCCAGAGAUGUUGCUUCAUCUAAAUUCAUUUUCAUCACUUUAUCUACUUUUCAACUUUGCCUUUCCUCCUCAAGAAUGUGAGUGCUAUCGUUUCAACUUAGCGGAAACCUCACUAGACCAUAAUGCAGCCCGAUACCCUUCUGUGCCUUUGUUCUCUAUGCAUUUAGGAAGGUGGUUGGCUCUACUUAGCUUAUCAGUAGUGAAGUCAUUACUUGCAAAAAAUGUAUUGCUAAAACAAAAACAGAGUCAUUUUAGGAAUGCUUGAAUAUUUCAGUUAAGCACUGAAGAGUUUUCUUGGAAAAUCGGUGUUGUGUAGGAGAAAAACCAUAAGACUUCAGAAUUAGGAGACUCGGGUUCAAAUUUUGACUCUAGGCUUUUAAUAGCUUGGACAAUCAAGUAAAUUUGGAGGCUCCAUUUCUUAUUUGUUAAGUAGGGAUUAUAUUGUUAACCUACCUCACAGGACUGUUGCGAGGAGUAAAUGAAAUAACACGUCAAAGCCCCCCGCAGAAGGGUUGGUGCUGAGUAAAAAUUCAAUAAAUAUUAAAUCUGACUGCCCUCCCCGACCAAAAGUGGUCAGAGACCCUGAGUUUGCAUGGCUUAAAGCCUUAAAGCAGGAAGCGAAAUGUAUUCUUCGUAAAAGUGGAAAUAUUCUAAUUACUUGGAUUUGGUUUUUUGGAUUGUUGUUUCGUUUGUUUUUUUUGCUUUUUUGGUUUUUUUGCCUGUGUGUCUGGGAGGAAGUUAUUUUGGCUUAUUCCCUAGCUCAGUUUUCUAGUGAGGUGGGGGAAGAAUAUGGUCUUACCAUGGUGCAGAAGAAAUACACAAUCCCACACAGCCACUUGGUUUGGAGACUGGGUUGUUGGGUAACAGCUAUUAUGGAGAGACACUAAAAAAUUGUCUCUUGUUGCUCCAUCACAGCUACUGAACUAAAAACAUGUCCGGCUUGCAGACGGCUGCUUGCCAGAGCCCUUGACUCCUCAGGGGGUGGAGCGAGUGAUUUCCUUCCUGGACAGGGGCAAUCUGUGGUCAGUGUUCCCGAGUUACUGUAGCAACCCUGCAGCUGUGCUCUGCCUAGCAGAAACUCGGUAGGAUAUCAUUGAUUUUGCUCACUUCAGUGAAAAACAGGGACUCUACUGGGCCAAAGAAGAAGCCAGGUGAGUUUUUGAAGCCAAUAGGUCCAGGCAUGCCAGAUUCGACUCUAAAGAAGCCUGAAACAUACCCUGGAUAUUUGCUGAAUGUUGAAGUAUAAAAGAGCCUGGAGAGCUGGUCCAGAAAGGCAGAAUAAAAUCUUCAAUGUUAUGAUGCUUAGGAGACAAAUUCCUUCUAGAGAGAGGGACGGCACCAACCAUACGACAGGGCUUUCCCUCAAGUUUUUGCCAGAUACUGAACUUGAUGUUGUGAGAGACUAAGCUCAAAACCUUCGAAGGACAGAGUUUCAGGAAUGAGGACAAAGAGAAAAGCCAAACUAUCAAUCAAAAACUGCAGAAGGCCACACUCAAGAAGGAAACUGGAUUGGAAAGGGAUAUAGUAAAGUGGUAAAUGCAAAUCAUGGAUGAAAUUUAUAAGAUCGCUUCCACAGAAAGGAUCCAGCAGUUAGAAAAUGAACUGGCUAUGCAACUGACUGAACUAAAGUCUGAGAUAGAAGAACAGGAGACUCAUCCAGCUUACAGCUCUGUUCGAAUACCAAAGGACAUUUCUUACUUCAGAAGAGAAAGGGAACUGGCUCUAAAGAGAACUUUACAGGUGGCGGAGUCAAAGCCCCUUGUUGUUCAAGCAGAUGUCAUGCAGAGGGAGCUAGAGAGCUGCCUAAGAAGAGAGUACACUCCUGAAAAUUUACCUUUGCUUCUGUUGCAGUAUUAUACAGAGAGAAUUAUCCAGUUGGCCCAGAGUAAAUAUUUGCACAUGCUUAGAUGGAAGAGGUUUUGCCAGCACAGUAAGAUUAUGGAGCAACUUUAUCCCCUUUACAAGAAACAAGUUGCCUACAUUAUGCAGGAGUACAAUGAUGCAGUCCAGAGAGCUGAAAGAUUGUCUGUUGCACGGGAAAACUUCCUUAUGGGAAAAAGCAAUCCUUCUAACUUAGUGACACAGGAAGACCUGACUAUUUACACAAAGUGGUUUGUGUGUCACCUACACUCACUCACAACCAUUCACCACUUCCUACAGUCUCUCCAGUAUUUGCCCAUCUCCAAAGUGCUGAGUGUAGCUGUUAAUGAAGAUUCAGAGGCUGGUCAGGAGGAUGAAAAGGUCUGUGUCGAUGACAUCAACCCUAACAACCAGGGUUCUGUAUCUCCAGGCCCUGUGGAUACCAGCAUUUCAGGGCUGACAAGAACAGAAACUGCUUUUUUCCUGCCCCAACACACAACUGAAAGAGAAGAACUGAAACCUCAGCUGGGGCUCCUGCUCUCCCAUUUCAGUAUCUCCUACGACGUGGAGGAGCUGAGGGAUACUGCUCAGGAGAUGGAGCUUUUUAACUUGGUUUCCAAAAAAUUCCGAAGCAUCUUCAUGGAGCAGCAGAGAAUGCAAACAUUUCCAGAUUAUGAUGCUGAGAUAGCUAAAGUGGAGAAUUUGGGUUUGGCAGGUCCUGGUAUGGCCUUGAAAAAGAGAGCUAACUGGACUUCCUUUAUAAAGAUUAAGCCAAAAUGUGAUCCUUGGCAAAAGAAGAUUUUGACUAGACUAAAAGAAAGGAGAAGACUAGAUGUAUUAAUGCAACUCCAAGCCAAGUUUUUGAAGAUUUCCAGCCCCGAGCGAGUAAUGCAAGUGCUCCAAGACCAUGCUGCAAAGACAAUCAUGCCACCUCCAUCUUGUCCAACUUCUGUGGCUGGCCAGGGUUUGCAUCAGUGCAACUAUGACGACAUCUGGGAGAAUAUUUAUAGCAACAUCAAUCUCUACCAGAAUGAAAAUAUGAGGGAAGAAGACCUUUCAAUGGAACAAAAUGAAAAUGACCUAGCACAGAUAAGUCGCUGCCAACAUGCUGGUGAGCCCGUCAAGCAGAAAAAAGAGACAGGGUACAGCUUUGCAGUGGCCCUGCAACUGCUCGGUUUGGAUGGUGGGGCCGGGCCCAGUGAUGGGAGUCCUGUCCUGAUGAAAGGAGCCUACUUGUCCUUCCUGUAUCUGCGCCACCUGCGAAUCAGGGAGCUGCAGCGCACCUGUCUGGGAAUUCUGAACUACUUCAGAUCCAUUGAGCGAACACUGACAAUCAACACUUCAGGCCUUACCUUGGUUGGAGGGAGUCUGGUCCCCACCAUAGAAGAUAGUUUUUGGGUAAAUACAGCCGAGGGAGGUCUGGGCACCUCGCAAGGCCUAGGAGCUAACCACUAUGUCCAUGGGACAGCUGCUGAGCACAAGGUCCACAGUGUCCGAUUCAUGGAGUUCUCGGAAGUGGAGAACCAGGACGACUACUACAGCAUGGAGGCUGCGUCCAUCUACACAAAGGACCCGCACGGAGUACAUAUCAUGUACGAUGAAGCCUUGAGCGAUCUGAAGGAGCUCGAGGCAGAGCUGCUGCUUGUGGCCAGCCAUUAUAUCGAGAAAGAAAAAGGUCACAAAGAGGGCAGCGAGUCAAAUACUGGCCAGGACUGGGGACGGGCCCAUGCAAGUGUGGACAGAUUUGCUGUGCUGUAUGACAUGUGGACUUGGGAAGCAGCCCUUCUAGAAAACAAGCGCCAGCUUCUUGACAGUUACUUCGAAGCCUACCAGCAUGUGUUGGACCCUGAGGAGAGGUUUGCCUUAGCACAAGUGAUCACUGACCUAAUGCACAGACGCCCGAGGUUUGAUCUCAGCCGCCAUUAUUUCCGGAAGGCCUACCGAGAUGAGGGCACCUGCCUGAGGCUUCACUUGGAGCUAGUGAGGGGCAUCCUCAAUCAGCACAUCGAGCGUCAGCGGGAGUAUGUCCAGAGGCUUUGGCAGGAAGGCCGUCCAGAUGAUAGCAGUAACUUUGGACUCCCCCUUAACAUAAUUUGCAAACAACUUAUUUCCAUCAACAAUAGCUGCCCAGCUUUGAAAAACAUUUAUCUGCUGGAGUUCCAUCCUUCCCUGGGCCUGGCAUCACUCAUCCCCCGAUCCCUUGAGCACCUCCUCCAGGAGGCCCGCCACACCUGCAGACCAAGAUCCGCCAGCAGCUUCACCUUGCUGGAGAGACGUGUGCUGCGGCUGGCCCUGGAUAUGUGGCUUACACCGGCCAGGCCCGAGUCCUGGUACAGCAAUCAGCUCCAGAGGGAUCUGUUUUCAGCUAAAGUAAUGGGAGAUCCCUUUCUCCUGGAGGAGAUAGGUCUGCUUGCUCUCCAGUCUGCUGCAGACGAAGGACAGAACCAAAGCCAAGGUUCUUCUGUGCAGCUCCUGGAGACAUUUUCGAAACUUCUGGAACUUGUGACCCUCCGCCACCGGCUAAUAGAAAUGAGUCUGGAGAGUGUACACUUAGCUCGUCUCUAUAAGGAACUGGCAUGGGAGAUGGGUUUUGAAGAGUUCCAUUUGUAUCUGAGGCCCAUUCACUUUGAAUUUGCAUCACUCAAAGACAAAGUGGACCACCCGCCUCCUGUCUUUAUUACCUCUCUGCUGGAGGACAGUGAUCAAGUGGACAGAUAUGCUCCUGCCACCCUUGUCUUAGCCAUCUCUGAGGUAGAAGAUAACCAGGUUGGCAAGUUCAGCUUUUAUACAAAGGAAGCCAUCCUUAAGCUCUUAUCCCAUUCAGGAGUGGAAAAUAUGCAAGUGACCCUUGCAUGCCAAGCAGCUCAGAAAAAUGCCUUGAUGGUGGCUGUCCAGCAGGCAUCCUCCGAUCCCAUGCCCCGGUGGGGCUGUCCUGCUGAUGCAAAGGAAAUAAGUUCAGAUCUGAGAAAUCAUGGUGGAAUGGGUCCAGCCAGAAGAAGAAAUUCCAGAAUUGUGAAUGACAUAGAGAAUGCACCAGUAGCCCCAAGUCCAAAAGUUCCAGACACCCUUACUCACCUGUCAGAAAGAUUCCAGGCUACCAAAAGGGCUCCAGAGGCUUUUGUGUCCAUUCAACUAGAAAAGGUGGGGCUGCGGGACAUGAUGCUGAACGCCUUCCUCCUCAGGAAACAAACCAUGGCCGACAGAAUGAAGAGCCUUGAUGAAGUUGGCAAAGUCAAGAGAGAUGUUAUAGUUGAAUAUUGUCAGAAGUUCAACUGCCGUAUGUCUCACUAUGCUCUUCGGGGUCAGAUUAUGGCAUACUGCAAUAGUCUGAGAGCCCUGCUGGAAGAUUUCCCUACCAUCAGAGAUACAUUUUUCAUGGUGGGGCAACCACAAGAAAAGAAAGGGUUGAGAGACUCCAAAGAGGGCCUCAAGGCUGACCCCAGGAGUUUUCAGGCCCGGCCGCGGGGUUUGCUGUCGGCUGACGGGAAAGUCUUCCUCAAUUUAUGGUUCCUGCCCCAUCCUUCUGAAGUGCUGGUUAUGUUCAAAACUCUGCCAGAAGAGGAAGCUUUCCAAGCCUUACAGCUAACUCUACAGCUAAUAGCCUCUCUCCAUGACAUCGUGGCCUACCUUUUCAGUUUUGCUCAACUUGGAAAUUGUCCAACAUGUUUUGAAUUUCCUCUAAGUGCUAACCCCCUGAAAGGCGACUGGGGAGGAACUGAGGGCAUCGGGUCUGAGCUGCAGGAGCUGCAGAAAAUGAUUGACAACCUCCAGAGCCCCCAGGACCCUACCCAGGUGUCCCAAGCACUCCUCCUUCGAAGGGAGGUUAUAUUUUUGCAGUUUGACGCCGCAGUGAGACACCUUAUCCGAAGAACAUUCUUGGCUGCGGGAAACGCUCCUGCCUACCAGUCUGUCACAGAUGGCAUGUACCACGGAUUGCCCCCACUGAGCAGCUCUCUUGUGAAGAGCAUUUUUGCUUCACAGCUCAGCCUGCCCCAGCCACUGGAUCCACGGAGCCUCCAGGCAUCCAUGCUAUUCCCUUGGAGAGCAUUUCUGGAAGAUGGAGGACUGUUUCCAGUUAUGAGUAGCAGACCAGAUACCCUAGAAUAUAAUAUGCAGCUGUGCCUCUGUGGGCUGAGUGAGCUUGACCUCAAGGUAGCCCAUGGAGAGCUGGUGGGCAUACGGCUGCUUUUGGAAGAUGUACUUCUGAGCAGCCAUCAUGUGACCAUGGAGGACCCCUCCACACAGCAAGCCACAAAGGACAAACACAGUCAGAUACUCCUGCCAGAUGUGUCUGGAGUGCCAGGAUUCAGAAGUCCGUUCCAAAGCAGCCCCAAAGCCUCCAGACUGCUGAGGGGCCCAUGCAAUGCGGUGAUGUCCCUUGCUGUCCUGAGAUCCUUUCUGGUGCUGUGGAAGCAGCUGGAAGUGCUAAAGGAGCACUGGGGCCGACUCAAACUGCCAGGCCAGGACCUCGAUUCUGUCUCCCUCCACAAACAGUUCUCAGAACUCUACAGAACUGACAUUCUCUAUCCCAGCAUGAAAGCUAUAGCUAGGCAGAUGGGGAAAGAAGAUGAAUUCGAAGGUAUUAUAAUAAGUAGUCAGUCUAUUCUUCCCCCCAAAGGAGCUUCAGAAAUCGAAAUAAAAACUCAGCAGCUUCAGAAACUUCUGGAAAAUCUUGAAAUUCAUAUGAUCCAAGAAGUAUUAAGAAAAGUUAACAGAGAGAGAGCACUGGUUGUAUCAGAAAAGUCCAAGGAGACAUGUACUCUCCCUACAGACCUUUGGAAGCACCAUGUCAUGAAAGAAAACUUUUCCAUUAACAGGCCACAAAUAGUUGAAAAAUUCAAACAGAGAUUAAUGGAAAAUUACCAGGAUGGUGGACUAGAGGUCACGUUCAGGAAAGACCACUUUGAGGACUGCCUCCUUUCCUUGGGUUGCGAUGUGAUGGCAAGAGAACGCAGCAACUUCGAGAGCUACUCCAUGUGUUACGAGCAUGUGUUGGAGCACGCUCGGCAGAAGCUCUUCCAGAAAGAGCAGGAAUUAGAUAUUAUCCGAAGAGGUUCAGAUCCACCUGAAGACAACGCUGGUCAGGUUGCAGAGCUCAGUCAUACUAUGAUCAUGGAAAUCACUGCUCUGAGAGCUCGACUCACAGAUUUGGAAGAGGAGAAUCUGAAUCUCAACAAGCAGAUCAGAAAAGAAGUCCAGGAAGAAUAUGAAGCAUUAGUCCGAGCUCUGUUUGCAACGUGCCUGCACAUAAAAGAAAAACUGGAUGAGAACCAGAUUAAUUUGAUCCAGAAAGUGUGUGAGCUCAUCGGCGAAGUAAGAACAGAAGGGAUUGACAAUCUGAAGGGCCUAAAGGAGAAAUGGGGCUCUGCCAGACCCGACGAAGGAAUGAAAGAAAACCCAGCCAAAGAGCAGCUGCAGGCUCUGGAGCAGGACAGCAGCAGCCUGGCUGCGCUGGUAUGCAAAUUGAGGAGCCUGGGCCACUGGAGGCUGGCGGUGCAGCAGGCUCGCUUCCAGCGCCAGGUGAACAGGGCGGAGAAGGAAGCUCUGCAAAGUAAAAAAGAGUGCUUGAGCGUCCAGCUAAUGGCAGACCAAGAAGUGGUUUUACUUCGUCAACAGUUACGGGGUCUAAGGCAGGCCCUGGCCAGGGCUCAGGCCGACAACGCCAGGAUGCUCCGCAUGCAUGAUAACCAGGCUCAACUGCUGAGAGAGCUGCAACACAAGUUGACCCAGGAGGCUCGCCACCGGCAACAGAUGGAUCUGAUGAAAACCUCCAGCAUGGAGAAGCUCCUGGAAGACAUGGAGAAAAAGGAACAGCACCUGCAGCUCCUGACAGAAGCAGCUGAGAGGGCUUCCAGGCUGGGCCAGCUUCAGCAGAAGAGAAGUCAGAAAGAGCUCCAACAGAUGAGGAGCCGGCUUGCCCAGGAGCGGAGUGUGAAGCUGGAUGCUUUCCAGCGCGUACAAGAGCUACAAAGUCAGCUUAGUGACGCUGAGCGAUCGUCUGUCCGGAUGAGCUCACCAGGUGGCCUUAUACCUCGGGCUCAGUAUUCCCUACGUUCUGCUCCCACAUCAUCCAGACACUCCCAGCAACACCUUUUAAGGACUCAUCUUAUGAGCAGUAAAAUAACUAGAAGGAUUCAAAGGCCGGACACCGUACCUAUUAAACAUGAAAGAAGGACUGACAACGUCUUUCUACCCAAUGUGGCAGAAAAUGUUCAAUGUUCAGCUUUUCAAGUUCACACGGCUCCAUCCAUAAUCCCAUAAAGACCUGACUGUGGUUAUGAUGCAGUCCCAGAAUAGCAGAAGACAACAGCCAAGGACAAGCAACAGCCAUGAACAGAGACCAUGUAAUAACGGUUUUUGAAGAACUGCCACUCAACAGAUGCACUUUCUAUAAGCAAACCCUGGCCUCCUUCCACUUCCAGAACGAGAGAGAGAAAACUAGAGAGACCCCAUGGUACUUCACUGGAGAACCCCAUAUGGGUCAAGCACGAAAACUACAUCAAGGUUCAUGGAGAAGCAAUUAAAAGUGAACCCACAAUGGUUCUGAAGAAACUGUUUUCCCCUUUUGGUUCACAUCCUACCUUCUGGAAAUUAAUUUUUCCUUAACAUCUGUGCUUUCAUCAAGCCUUUAACAUCCUCC